CCCUAAGUACUCUUAAAGUUCAAUGCAGAAAACAAGCAGAUUAUCAGAGAAUAGAGGUGAUAAGUGCCAUGACCCAACAUGGCAGGAGGUCCAGGGGAACACCUCCCUCAGGUAGAGUUAAAGAAGGGAGAAGGACGGUAUGGCUUUUCCAGGAAGAAGGAGAAGCCAGUGUAAAAACUGAGCAUCUGGAAGUCUAUGACACAUCUUUGAACCUGCAAGUAUUUUUAUGUGGCUAAAGUGUUGAACAUAAGUGGGGGAGUGGCCAAAUGUGAGACUGGAGAAGGUAACAGAUCAGGAGGUCUUAGGGACCACACAGCAGAAAAUUGGAGACAGAAUGACCAUAUUUUACAGACUGGUUUGCGCCUUCGUGCCCUCAUGCCUUUACUCAGACCAUUCUCGCUCCUGGAAAUGCACUCUGGAAGUGAAGGCUGACAACAUCCUGCUGAACUUUCAGGGCUCAGUUCAGGGUUUUCCUUCGGAGUACCGGAAGCAGAAGCACUUCCUUCCACCACUCUGCUGGAACAUGCUGUAUCUACUUCUUUAAUAGGACUUAACACUCCACUGUAUUUGCACUUAACACUUGUCAUUGUAUGUCUGUCUUCCCAGAAAACUGAAUUUUUUUAAAGCAGGAACCCAUAUUGUUUACCUUUAUGUUUCCCUAAUAGUCUCUGGCCUGCAAUAGCCCAUGUUUGUGGAAUAAACAACUUACCUUGUGACCUUGCCAGCCCAUCACAGCUCUCUCUCAGGAAGUGAGUAACACCAAACCACCUAUAUAACGGACAAAACUUCUCCUGGGCAGAGAGCUGCUGAUCUGGGCAGGGACCGCCAGGAGAGCACCGGCCUACUGCAGGGUCACCACCGCCCCCCACCCAUGAAGCCAUGCCAAAGACCUGUCUCCUCUUCUUCCUCACCAUCUUCUGCGCAGGGGUCUCACUGGAUAUAAUUUUGAAACCGGAUACCAAAGCACUGACUGUCCUCAUUGGGGAGGCUGCUACCUUCCGUUGCAGUGUAACAGGAGGCGACCUGAAGAACUAUCAAAUAAGCUGGUAUAAGAAGAGUGAAGAUAACUCUCUGAUUUUGAUCUCCAAACUAAGCAACAAUUCUAAUGACAAUUUAGGGAAUAAUUUCAAGGUGAAAAUCGAUACUUUAAAAAGUCAAUUUAUGCUUGACAUUCAAAAAGCAACAACACAAGAUGUUGGGACUUACUACUGUGCGUCUGAUAUCCACAGUGCUGCGGCUCCGUUUCUGACCGCUUCAGAAACCCUAGGGCCAAACUGAGGCGGCAGAUCCAAUUCGAGACCACUCCGGGCUAAAAUGUGCACCACACCUGAGAUGAAGCUGCCUGAUCACUUCAACAGUAACAUCUGAUAAAAGAGGCCAGGAGUUGAAAUGGGGGCAAGGGGCUUAUCUUUGCAGUUGGCUUAGAGGGGCCUUCUUUAUCAGUUGAAGAGGGCAGAAAAGACUGUGAGGAUUAUUGUGGAGAGAUGUUGUGGGGGGAGGGGGGUUGCUGCACCUGUUUCUCACAGGCUCCUGAGGAAAGGUUGAAAAUAACAGCUUUUAAUACUGAAUAGGCCCUCUCAUUGUGAAGGCAGGCUGAGAUAAACAGAACUUUUACUAUCAUGAGUGCUAUAGCUCAUUGCAGUCUUUAUUGUGAAAGUGUUCAUGUGCAUAAGCCAGAUAAAGCAAGGAUGGUUUUCCAUUACCAUCCUAAUCAAAAUUUCCAAAGCUAUUAGAGAUAGCUUUAAUUCUUACUCUGUGAAGAAGGAUGAAUAGAGUCAUUUUCUGAAAUGUUUCCACAACUAUUUCAGGUAUUGAGUGUUUUAUAUCUUCCCUCAGCUGCCGAAGAGUCCUGGGGACCGGUAGGGGUGAGCAGGAAGGGGAAAUGCACAGGCUUCCUUCAUGCCGGUUGCUGAGAGAGAGCUUAGAGACAAAUACUUGUGGCAAUGUGGAAUUUCUGAGUUGAGCAUGGGUCAACUAAAUUAAAAAAUUUAUUUGAUUCCCGAGUCCCAAGUUGAAAUGGGUAAGCCAAGAAGGUAUGAGACUGCAGGGAGCAAAUACCUGGAGGAACCCACUGAGCAGACGAGUAGGCAGAGGGGCUUAAACAUACAAACAUUAAACCCUCAUCCAGGUAGUGCCUUCAUCCUGUUGGCUCUCUUUGUUCUGCUCAAAUAUCUGUCUGGAAUCCUCUCUCUACCUAAGGUUAAAAUUCAGGCAUUAGGACACAGUGUAGACAUAAUCGUAAAAAUUACAACUAAAAGUCAACCCUCCUGAUACCUUCUAUUCAACGUUUCUUCCAAUGUGCUAUCAUCUUCAUCACAUGUUUUUUCUAGGGUACUUACUGUUCGUGGUAUUGGGACGGGUCAUGGGAAUAGCAAAGUUCUAAGGCAAGUUCUAGUCAAAGUUCUAUUCUCAUCAAUGUGUUUUCAAUUUAGUUUUAAAAGACAGGGCAUUCGAAAGUACAAUUAAAGAUUACAAAGAAUACAAAAAUAUAAGACAGCACAUAUGAUAAUGAGGGUUAGUGAUUUCAUGUGCAGCGCUCUAGGAGUUUAUGAAAGGACCAACCACUCUGAGAAAAGUUUCUUAGGUUUGA